GCGGCAGCAGGCCCUGGAGGCUGCCGCCGUUCUCGACGGCGCGCAGCAGCCAGAGAUCGAGGCGCUGCUGCUCCAC
rnacentral:tRNA from 1 species